rnacentral:rRNA from 1 species
AGUGAACGCUGGCGGUAGGCCUAACACAUGCAAGUCGAACGGCAGCACAGUAAGAGCUUGCUCUUACGGGUGGCGAGUGGCGGACGGGGGAGGAAUACAUCGGAAUCUACUGUUUAGUGGGGGAUAACGUAGGGAAACUUACGCUAAUACCGCAUACGACCUACGGGUGAAAGCAGGGGAUCUUCGGACCUUGCGCGAUUGAAUGAGCCGAUGUCGGAUUAGCUAGUUGGCGGGGUAAAGGCCCACCAAGGCGACGAUCCGUAGCUGGUCUGAGAGGAUGAUCAGCCACACUGGAACUGAGACACGGUCCAGACUCCUACGGGAGGCAGCAGUGGGGAAUAUUGGACAAUGGGCGCAAGCCUGAUCCAGCCAUACCGCGUGGGUGAAGAAGGCCUUCGGGUUGUAAAGCCCUUUUGUUGGGAAAGAAAAGCAGCAGGUUAAUACCCCGCUGUUCUGACGGUACCCAAAGAAUAAGCACCGGCUAACUUCGUG